AUUGAACGCUGGCGGCAUGCCUUACACAUGCAAGUCGAACGGUAACGCGGGGCAACCUGGCGACGAGUGGCGAACGGGUGAGUAAUGCAUCGGAACGUGCCCAGUAGUGGGGGAUAGCCCGGCGAAAGCCGGAUUAAUACCGCAUACGACCUACGGGUGAAAGCGGGGGACUGUAAGGCCUCGCGCUGUUGGAGCGGCCGAUGUCGGAUUAGGUUGUUGGUGGGGUAAAGGCCUACCAAGCCGACGAUCCGUAGCUGGUCUGAGAGGACGACCAGCCACACGGGGACUGAGACACGGCCCAGACUCCUACGGGAGGCAGCAGUGGGGAAUUUUGGACAAUGGGGGCAACCCUGAUCCAGCCAUGCCGCGUGCGGGAAGAAGGCCUUCGGGUUGUAAACCGCUUUUGUCGGGGAAGAAAUCUUCUGGGCUAAUACCCGAGGAGGAUGACGGUACCCGAAGAAUAAGCACCGGCUAACUACGUGCCAGCCGCCGCCGUAAUAC
rnacentral:rRNA from 1 species